rnacentral:tRNA from 1 species
GCGGGAUUCGUAUAGUGGCUAAUACAUCAGUUUUCCAAACUGAAGACGCGAGUUCAAUUCUCGCAUCCCGCA